GACGAACGCUGGCGGCGUGCCUAAUACAUGCAAGUCGAACGCAUUUUCUUUCACCGUAGCUUGCUACACCGAAAGAAAAUGAGUGGCGAACGGGUGAGUAACACGUGGGUAACCUGCCCAUCAGCGGGGGAUAACACUUGGAAACAGGUGCUAAUACCGCAUAAUUCCAUUUACCGCAUGGUAGAUGGAUGAAAGGCGCUUUUGCGUCACUGAUGGAUGGACCCGCGGUGCAUUAGCUAGUUGGUGGGGUACCGGCCUCCCAAGGCUGCGAUGCAUAGCCGACCUGAGAGGGUGAUCGGCCACACUGGGACUGAGACACGGCCCAGACUCCUACGGGAGGCAGCAGUAGGGAAUCUUCGGCAAUGGACGCAAUGCUGACCGAGCAACGCCGCGUGAGUGAAGAAGGUUUUCGGAUCGUAAAACUCUGUUGUUAGAGAAGAACAAGGAUGAGAGUGGAAAGUUCAUCCCUUGACGGUAUCUAACCAGAAAGCCACGGCUAACUACGUG
rnacentral:rRNA from 1 species